UUAGUUUUACUAUUUUGCUACUUUUAUUAAAUUUAUUCCGCAUGGCCAUUGGCCAUUGGUCCUACGCAGUACGCCGCGUACUAAAUUCUAGCGCGUACUGUACGCGCUAGAAUUUAGAAGUAAUGUGUUCACUGUUCUGUCAUCUGUGGCAUGGUAAAUACUAAAUGGUUACGCCACGAAUGAACUACAGUUGCUAUUUAGUUAAUUCUUCUACUUAAUAGUUAAUGUGUGUUUUUCUUGGAGAAAUCUUUGGCUUAUAUUAGACGUUUCAAUUGCGCUCGUUAAGUGAUGAAAACCUUAAUUAUUUUUACGGAAUGUAUAAAAGUAUUCGGUGAGCUGUACUUUUGGGCACACCUGUGCUGGCCUCAAUUCCACGUACGGAACAACUCGGGUCCUCAUCAACUGCUUGAAGGACAACUGCCUCGUAGGGUAGUGAAAUUCUACCUUCACCGUGCACUUGGU